rnacentral:lncRNA from 1 species
AAUCCUUUGUUCUUAUUCUUAGUUAAAUGUGUGGAAUAGACCAAAUCCUAAGAAAAUUUGAAAAUCAAGCAAGGAAAAAACUUUUUUAUUUUAUUCUUCACGUCCAGGAUUACGUCCGGGAUCAUUAGAUAGGAAUCCAAAGAUGAAGAGAGAAACAAAAAAUAUCACUACUGUGUAAACGAAGAGUUUGAGAGUAAGCAUUACACAAUCUCCAAGAUGAUUUUUUUGAAAAAAAAAAAGAGAAUAGAUCAUCCAUCGCAUAUCCUAGUUUGACACCAAGCAACGAAGCUUUUUCUCUAAAAGAAUUUUCAGAAAUUCUUUUAUAAUAAGAGUUUGUCAUUAACCAAAUUUUUUAUAUAUACAAGAGGAGCCUAAUAAGGUCUUUCACUGGAAAGGAAAGCGCCAAAAAAGAAGGAAAUUAAGUUAAGCCGGAUUUCUCGUGACUAUCCAAGAAUUUCAAUGUUUGAAUCGAGAUUUCAAACGGUAAAGCUUAUCUGAUUUUAUUGAUUUUCGAAUUUUUUCUCGAAUAAAUCAUGAAUUUUCUAGGAUAUUAUUAAGGAUCUCAUCGAAAACUUACAGCAGCUUGCCAAACAAAGGCUAAGAGAAAAAAGAACAGAGGUAUGACUGGCAUAAUAUCUACGAUUGGAUUCAAAAAAGCAUAGGCCUCGGGCAAUUUGCCGAAGAAAAAACUACUCGAAUAAAGGGUCGAAUUAAGACAGAUACCGAUCAAACUAAAGGUAUUAAGCAUAACAGACUUUUUGUUCUUGGAGAUAAUUGCAUUUUGAUUGAGUUAUUUAUAUAAGGAAAAGGAAAGUAAGUUAUAAGGAAAAGGAAAGUAAGUAAGGUAAACAAAAAAUCCUUCUUUUUCUUUGAACCCACCCAAUCAAAAAUCCUCCUUUGAGAAAAGGAGAAUCGAAAAAAUAAUAUUUUCAUACAAUAUCUUAAUUGAAUUAUAUGUAAUGAUCAAUAAAUUAAGUUGAAUUCUAUAUCUACACAUACCAAAAACAUAGAAAAAUCCGAAUACCAAUCUAAUCGAUUCUAUAGAUAUUUGGGCUAGAGUUGACAAACAAACAAAACCAGCAAUAUACUUUAUUAGUAUCGCAUAGAAAUCUAAAUGGGGCGUGGCCAAGUGGUAAGGCAACGGGUUUUGGUCCCGCUAUUCGGAGGUUCGAAUCCUUCCGUCCCAGAACAUAUAUAUUCUCUGACAAUAUAGAUUGCUUUUUUAACAAUGUUCUGUUUAAAAUCGAAAUGUUAGCUGGAAUGUGAUUGUUGUUUCUGAUUUUUUUCUUCGAUGAAUCGUUUUUUUUUUUUUCAAAAACUGAAUCGAGAUACGAAAGAAUCCAUAUUCCCUAUCUCAUAUUCUCUACCCCCUAAAUUAGCCUAAUUAGAUUCAAUUUGCUUUUUUGUGGAUUUCUUGACUUUUCGCCAAGAAGGGGUUUUUGGUACUAAUUCAAUUCACUAAGUCUCUUAAUUCUUAAUCAAUGAGGUAGGCUAAAAUAGAAAAAAGGAGCAAAAACUGGACUUAAUCUGGGCUUGUUUGGCUUUGUGCCCAGCCAGCUCGCAUUUCGUAAAAAAAAGACUAGGACAUCCCCUUCUUUUGAUUUAUGCUGCAUCAGUCCCAGAGAAUGGGGUAGAUAGGAGUUAAUCAGUGAUGGGAAGGCGUUCAUUUCAAUAUCUAUAAACGGUGACAAUUGCUCAGUCUAUUUGAUCGAAUUGAUAGAUACGAAACCCUCCCCAUUCUUUGGAUUUUAUUAAUCAGAUGAAAAAAAAAAAAAAAAGACUUAUCUUUUUUCCUAAGAUGAUCAAAAGUUAUUUUUAACUAUCAAAUUUUCUUGGAAUAAUGAUGUCGAGAGGGGAACUUUCGAAAUUGAUUCGAAAUUUCGAAAGAGAAAUAGUUUAAAUCAUUCCUUAGAAGCUGAAUCUUUCUCUCCUAUUAAGUCACGUGAAGAUGCAGAAUUAAAAAGAAUUCGUUUAUUCGUCUUAUUUUAUUUAUAUAAAAAAAUUUUUUAUUAUAUAUAUUUAUUAAUUAAUAUUAUAAUGUUAGACAAUUUAAUAUUAGCGAUGGGGUCUUACUAAGACUUCUUCAGAAAAAUAUUUAUCCACCCUAUAUCUAUAGUAUUAAUCUAUAGUAUUAUUUAUAUCUAUAUACUAUAGAUAUAGAAGAUAUAGAAAAUACUUUAGAUUAUGGUGUUUAUACAUCAGCCCAACCAAUGACUAUUCAUGAUUCCAUAAUUGAAUCAAUUCCAUACCGGUUCUUAGAGGAAUGUUAUGGUAAAACUUCGUUUGAAACGAUGUGGUAGAAAGCAACGUGCGACUUGAAGGACACGAUCCGUUGUGGAUUUGUACAUCCACCAUUUUUUGUAGGAAUGAAGGUGCUCUUAACUCGACAUCAUUGGUUCUGUUUCACUAGAACCCCUCGUUUUUUGUUGUCUUGGAAUGUAAAUAGUCCAUGAUGGAGCUCGAGUAGAAAGUAUUAAUUUCUUUCUCGGGGCAAGGGUCUAGGGUUAAUGCCAAUCAAUAAAACAAUUGAAACAACUUCGUAAAUAUAUCUAAUAUAUCUUAGGUAUGGAAAUCGAAAGAAUCCAAUUCGAGCAAGUUUCAAAUUAAAAAAUUUAUUGGAAUUGAUCAAACUUUUUCGAUCCAAAGUGUUUCACGAGGGAAUCCAUCAUCUUGUAGGAUUCUUUCAUAAAAAUCGCAAAAAGGGUAUGUUGCUGCCAUUUUGAAAGGAUUAAAAAGCACCGAAGUAAUGUCUAAACCCAAUGAUUUAAAAUAAAACAAAGAUAAAGGAUCCCAGAACAAGGAAACACCUUUUUAAUUGUCUUAAUAACUGGAUCAGACUGAAGAAUCCGAUUUUAAACGAGACAAACAAAAAAGGAGGAAAGACCGCUCAAUAAAUGAAAUUGCCGAAAGAUUU